GGGCGCAGCCGGAAGUGCGGGCCGCACGCCGGAAGUGCCGGAACUACGCCGGCAUCGUCCACAGGCGUUCACAGGGAGCGUGGCAAGCUGCGGAGCAGGAUGUCCCUGAGGCGCCCGGCCGGCCUGCGCCCAGCCGCCUGCUCCCCCAGGCCGGCUGCCAAGGCGCUGAGAGAGCUCGGCUAAGAACCCCCCACGCCUUACAGCUCAGCCCGUUGAAUCACCCCGUGACUCUUUUUCGAGCCCCGCGUUGGUGGGUGCCACGGGCGGCUGCGCACUUCGCCUUCAUUGGCGUGGCUUAGGCGGCAGAGCUGGGCUUAGGUCCUGCGGCCUGCGGGACGGACUUGCUCCAGAGUCUGCAGAGCCCACGCCCCCGAGGCCGCGAGAGAGGGAAGUGCGUGCGCCCGGUGUGCUGACGGCUCUGCGCGGUGCUCCCUGAUUCCGAGGAACUGCCGUCCAAGCUCCUUCACGCUCACAUUGAGAGGAUCUCCGUUCCCCAGGGUGGUUGGAAAAAUGAAUCGGAGUCCACCACGUCUCCUUCUCAGGGCUGAUGUGUGGUGGGACCAGAGGCCGAAGCGGUUAGCACAGCCGGCCUGCUGGGCACUCUCAGACGGGAGCACACCCGGGAGUUUGCCAGUGGCCAGGGAGGCCUUGCUGAAAUGUCCUUGGCAGUGUCGGCACUCGGGCCCGAAGGACAGGAGCGUCAAGGGGCUACUGAUGGUGAGGGGUCACUCCGGGAGGUUCUCAUCUGGGAGUGAGCUGGGAGCAGACCCCCAUUGGAAAUAAGCGAGGCGGACGGUUCGCACAGGACGGAAGCCAGGGCUCCGGCUUGGAUCCUCCUGGAACGGCCAAUGUAGAGGCCCACGUGGCCGCAGGGAGCCUGGGAAGGUGAGCCGUCAUCAGGAAGCAUGGCCGCCCCAACAAGCUCAGGGUCCUCUCAGGGAACAAGGGGGUAUGGUGGACAUGUGUUGGCUGACGUGGCUGUCCCCACCGUCCUGGGAUGUGAUGACCAUUUUCAUUUUCAUAAUUUGACGGAGGAGGAGAUUAAGGGACAGGCAAGCCAGGUCAUUUCUUUCCUGAAGACUACCUAAUAGACGGGGAACCGUAUCUCUGUGAGACCAUAGGCAACCUGAGAGCAGGACUGUGUGUUUGUCCUUUGCCCUGUGUAGCUGUGACCCCAUCACCAGACAGAAUGUCACUUGGAUCGAUGCCUGAUCGAAUGCCACGUUGAUGGCCCAGUAAAGUCCCGUGCAUGUCUCAGGCUUCCCCGUCCUCCCUCUCAGAGGAAAGAGUUCCAGAAGCCUCCCCAUGCCGGCAUGCAGUUCCUCUGGGCCCAGGCAGCGUGGGUGUGCCGGGAGGACCAGUUUCGGCCGACUGCCAUCCCAGCCACGUUCAGCUGAGCUCACCAGGACCGAACAAGGCCCGAAGUGUCUCAAAGAGUGUUUUUAACAAGUUGUAAAUAAUAUCUCACCAAGUCCCAUCGCUGCCUAGAAUUGAUGCAGCUGGUGAGAAGUAGUCAUGAUCCCGUGAAUCAUUUGUCCAUUUACAAGAACAUUUCAUUCACCUCCUUCCAGAAGGAUGCACAGAACACGCUUUAAAAGAAGGCGUAACUGGAACUGACAUAUGGGAAGGCUGUGUUGCAUUCCAGUUCCUCACUGGCUCAUGCGGUGUGUGCAGAAGAAGGGAUACUCGUAAUUACUGGGGAUUUUUAAAAAAAUAGAGAUAAUUUGUCUUAAGAAGAAACAUGGGCAUCUGCAGAAUGAUGACUUUGUCUCCCCGUGGUCUGCUCUUGGGUCAGAAACGUGGCCAGUACCCUGCCAUGUGAUUGCUGGCUUCUGGCCCUACUCUCUCACUCUCGAAGAAAGGGCGUAUGUCUCAGCCUCCUGCAGAACCACCCCGUUCUUGCCUCUUGUCGCCCCUGCUAAGGCUGAGCAUGGAUCUCCGUAUGUUGGCACGUGAACUAAGGAUUAAGCCUCUGGAAGAAAGUCAGAAUAUCUCUAAUGGGGAAGUCUUUCCUGCUACAGCGACCAUCCCUAUGACAGUUGGGCUUAAGGAGGAAGGGGGGGAGCUUGGAUGACCAGGGUUGCAUCAGCCCGCAAACCGAGCAGCCACGCCACGUAACAAAGCAUCCGACCCUCAGUGACUUGAGACAAAGGCUAUUUCUUCUCAUGACCAGGGUUCUGCGGGUUCACCUCGCUACAGCUGAUCUGGGCUACCCUCAUUCUGGGGCGGGCGAGCGGGGCAUGGCUUUAGGCUCCUGAAUAGACUUGGGUCUUUUCCUCAGCUUUCUGCAGAGGCCAUAUCUGAAGUGGCGCCUCUGCCUGGUGCAUAACCUUCUCGGGGGAUCCCAGGAAUGAAAGCUUGCCCAACUCCAGGGCACAAGGACAUGGCAAGCCUCUGGAGGCAUUGCAUCAAGAAUAUCUCAUUAGCCCAGACAGGUCACAUGGUCCACCCAUGUGGACCACCAUGGUGCACCUCCCUCCCAAGGGCAGGGAGGGAGCAGGCCCUGGCCUUGGGGCUCUGGGGAUGGG